CUGACAGACAUGCAGAGAUGCGAUUGGCCGCCUGGUUAUCAGAAGGGGGAAAGGAGAAGAUUAAUUGUGUGUCGUCUGCAUAGCAAUGAUAGGAGAGACCAUGUGAGGAUAUGACAGAGCCAAGUGACUUGGUGUAUAGCGAGAAUAGGAGAGGGCCUAGAACAGAGCCCUGGGGGACACCAGUGGUGAGAGCGCAUGGUGCGGAGACAGAUUCUCGCCACGCCACCUGGUAGGAGCGACCUGUCAGGUAGGACGCAAUCCAAGCGUGGUAGGGGCAGAGUGAGAAGUGUUGGAUGAGAGCAAGAGGGAAAAGGAUACAAGGUAGUGGUCGGAGAUUUGGAGGGGAGUUGCAAUGAGAUUAAGGGAAGAGAUGAUAGGAUGGAAGAGGAGAGAGUAGCGGGAGAGAGAGAGCGAAGGUUGGGACGGCGCAAUACCAUCCGAGUAGGGGCAGAGUGAGAAGUGUUGGAUGAGAGCAAGAGGGAAAAGGAUACAAGAUAGUGGUCGGAGAUUUGGAGGGGAGUUGCAAUGAGGUUAGUGGAAGAACAGCAUCUAGUAAAGAUGAGGUCAAGCGUAUUGCCUGCCUUGUGAGUAGGGGGGGAAGGUGAGAGGGUGAGGUCAAAAGAGGAGAGGAGUGGAAAGAAGGAGGCAGAGAGGAAUGAGUCAAAGGUAGACGUGGGGAGGUUAAAGUCACCCAGAACUGUGAGAGGUGAGCCAUCCUCAGGAAAGGAACUUAUCAAGGCGUCAAGCUCAUUGAUGAACUCUCCAAGGGAACCUGGAG
rnacentral:lncRNA from 1 species